UACGGAGGGUGCGAGCGUUGUCCGGAUUUAUUGGGUUUAAAGGGUGCGUAGGCGGCACGUUAAGUCAGUGGUGAAAUUCGUGGGCUCAACCCGCGGCCUGCCAUUGAUACUGGCGUGCUUGAGUACUGCAGGGGCAGGCGGAAUUUGUGGUGUAGCGGUGAAAUGCAUAGAUACCACAAGGAACCCCGGAGGCGAAGGCGGCCUGCUGGGCAGUAACUGACGCUGAUGCACGAAAGCAUGGGUAGCGAACAGG
rnacentral:rRNA from 1 species